GUGAGCUGCAAGGUCUGUAGCAUGUUGCAAAUUUCCCAUUUAAAUUCAUUGAGUUAUAGGCCAAAACACGCCUGUCUUGAUUAUAGCACCCCAUAAUAACCAAUAUUCGCCAAAUUUGGUACAGAGCCUUGGAGUGGCAUGC